UACGGGAGGCAGCAGUGGGGAAUAUUGCACAAUGGGCGCAAGCCUGAUGCAGCCAUGCCGCGUGUAUGAAGAAGGCCUUCGGGUUGUAAAGUACUUUCAGUCGUGAGGAAGGUGUUAAGGUUAAUAACCUUAGCAAUUGACGUUAGCGACAGAAGAAGCACCGGCUAACUCCGUGCCAGCAGCCGCGGUAAUACGGAGGGUGCGAGCGUUAAUCGGAAUUACUGGGCGUAAAGGGCACGCAGGCGGUUAAUUAAGUUGGAUGUGAAAUCCCCGGGCUUAACCUGGGAAUGGCAUUCAAGACUGGUUAGCUAGAGUCUUGUAGAGGGGGUAGAAUUCCAUGUGUAGCGGUGAAAUGCGUAGAGAUGUGGAGGAAUACCGGUGGCGAAGGCGGCCCCUGGGACAAAGACUGACGCUCAUGUGCGAAAGCGUGGGGAGCAAACGAGGAUUAGAUACCCUAGGAACUGG
rnacentral:rRNA from 1 species